CCAAGCACAAGUCCUUUGAACCUCUAAGCUGUAAGGCUUUGUAAUCCUGAUGAAGGGAAAUGGAAAUGGGGAGGGGGUGAGGAAAAUCUUCAAAUUCUUUUUUUUUUUUUUUUCCUUUGCAACACUUUAAAGAGAGACAGGACAAAAGAAGAAUGCAUGUUCUAUAUGCACAUUUCUUUGCAGCCCUCUGACGAAGUACCUCAAAAGCUAAGCUCCCAUCAAUCCUGGAGAGAUAGGAUCGGCAGAGCAUAGUGGCAGAAUGAAUGGUUUAAAAGGAACAGCAGCGACCAAAGAACUUUUUAUGCAGAGAAACCCCAAAUCUGGGGCAAAUCCCUCCUGUUCAUUUUAUCUCACACAAGGUCAAAAAUCUUCCCAUUUUACCUGGGAAUUCAAGAACAAACUCCGAAUCUCAAAGCUCUAGGUUCAUGAUAACAAAUUCCAAACCCUCUUUCCUGUGUUCCAGUGUUAUGAGUAAAAAAGAGCUGUUAAUAGAAGACAAAUGAUGCUGCUUGAAAUUGUGACUUGAAAAGCAAGUAAGCCAUGAAUCAUCCCAAUGUAUAAGCCUGUAAUCAGAACAAUGGAGAACUGAUAUAUGAAUAGUUGCCAUUUACUCUGUUCUUAGCAAAACAUUGACCAAUUCAUGGCUAUGCAUGUUAAAUGUUGUAACAUGAACAUAAUUCAUGUUAUCUGAAACAGGGAACGCUUCUGUGUCCAAUUUGCCUUUUUAAAAAAACACAUAUUUUGAAAAAUAGAGAUACCCUAAAUUAGCCUAAGGCUGUCAAAGUACAUCAUGCUUCUCCAUAGAAAGCCACCACAUUAACAGUAAUUGUACUAAGUAUGUAUAGUAUUGUAUAGUACUUUAAGAUGUACAAAAUACAUC
rnacentral:lncRNA from 10 species